CCUACGGGCGGCAGCAGUGGGGAAUAUUGCACAAUGGGGGAAACCCUGAUGCAGCGACGCCGCGUGAGUGAAGAAGUAUUUCGGUACGUAAAGCUCUAUCAGCAGGGAAGAAAAUGACGGUACCUGACUAAGAAGCCCCGGCUAACUACGUGCCAGCAGCCGCGGUAAUACGUAGGGGGCAAGCGUUAUCCGGAUUUACUGGGUGUAAAGGGAGCGUAGACGGCAGCGCAAGGCUGGAGUGAAAUCCCAUGGCUUAACCAUGGAACUGCUUUGGAAACUGUGCAGCUAGAGUGCAGGAGAGGGAAGCGGAAUUCCUAGUGUAGCGGUGAAAUGCGUAGAUAUUAGGAGGAACACCAGUGGCGAAGGCGGCUUACUGGACUGUAACUGACGUUGAGGCUCGAAAGCGUGGGGAGCAAACAGGAUUAGAUACCCCUGUAGUC
rnacentral:rRNA from 1 species